GGACACUCUCUGGGGUCCCUGAAAGGGGUCCCUUUCUCUUUCUUCUGUUACCCAGUGUUAAUUCAGGAUGCUGUUUGGUAAACUCAACUGGGUGCUCAUAUUUGAAUAACACCCCGCCCCCUGCCCCCUCUCAGCCAUACCUUACAUCCCUUGGUUCAGAAUCUAAAUGGAAUGGGGGGAGUAGUAGGAAUGUUGGGGCUACUCUUAUUUCUUCUAUGGCACCAGUUAUGACGGUAGGUCUAGAUAAAGUCAUCUAAAGAUCUGUUGUCAGGGAGGGUCACGAUUUCUUAGAAUGAGAAAGUAUGUGAACACAGAGGUUCUCACAGGGUGGUCUGUGGACCCGAGGGGCGUCUGAAACAUUUUCAGGAGGUACGUGAUGCCAAACCUAUUUUCACGAUCACACUGAGAUGUUACUUGCCCUUUCGACAUUUUUUAUUUAUUUAUUUUCGAGGGGUUGACGUUUGCACUGAUGAGGCGAAGGCAAUGUAGAUAAAAUUGCUGGCACCUUGGUGCAAAUCCAGGCAGUGGGCCCAACUGCUCUGAUAAUCGGUGUUUUCCUUACUGUCGUACUCACUGUAAAAAUAAGACCUCUUUCACAUUAGGAUGUCCUUGAUGAAGCAGAAAAAGUAUUAAUUUUUAUUAAGCUUUGACCUUUGAGUACACCUCUUUUUAAAUUCUGUGCGAUGAAAGGAAAGUACACUGUGCAUAAAACAUUCUGCUGCACACUAAAGCACAGUGGUUGUUUAGGGAGAAAGCAACUGUGCAGUUGUUUGAGAUGGACUAGCCAGUUUUUUUCAGGGAACACCAUUUUGCUUUAAAAAAGUGGCUGACAAACGAUGGUUACUCAGAUUUGAGUAUUUGGCGAAUAGUUUCUCAAAAAUGAAUGAGGUGAAUCUGUUACUUCAAGGAAACUUUACUGGCAGAAUUUGUUGCAGUGAUAAAAUUCACAUUUUCAAUGCAGAUUAGAAUUUUGAAACUCAUAUCUGGCACUGUGAGCCUGGACAGCUUCCCAGUAGUUACAUUUUUCUUAUAUGAAGUUCAUGGUAAUAUUAACCAAUGUGAUUCUUUUUUGUUAUUGUCUAACAAGCUGUGUUAACAUUGGGAUAUCUUUGGAGGUCUUAUUUAGUCUCCUACAUCCUCUGAUUUUACAAUGAGAACACUGAGUUCUGUGGGCGAUAAGGAUAUUUACAGAGAAGGUCAGAGUGCUGAACUGGGCUAAAGAAAGCUGAGGCUCUCUGUCUCCAUUCUUAACAACUUAUAGUUUGGAAACUCUGCUUGAGACCUCUGAUCUUACAGGCAGGGCCAUUUCUCAUACCCCUGUUUCCUGCUCACAGAGCUGCCACAGUACACAUGAAUCCAAGGCACUGAUGGCACCACAAGCUACAAAUCCAUAGAAUACAAUAGGCAUGAUGCCAUCUUGAAUUGUGCAGUUUGGUGUUUCUCCCUCCUCAGUAAUCAGGGAUUGGGAGUAAUUCUCUAUUCAACAGUUUUGAAGGCAUGAAAUCCACUUAAUGUCAAGAGUGAGAAUUAAUCAUCACUUAGUUCAUGUUCAGGUACGUAAGAAGACCAGAUGACCCACAGUUGGGUCUGCAGCAUCCCCAUUGUUAUGUAUAAUGUGUGCUAAAAUCUGAUAUUCUUUCUCUUUUGAGUUCCUUUGUCCCAGCUCCACGUCUCUGGUCACUAUAGCCUAUUCUUUCUCAUCCCACCAUUCUCCAAACUCACCCCCAGGCUGUGCGUACCAUGAUUCAGAGGACGUAGUGACCAUGAAGGCUCUGUCUGUUAGGGUCUGGCAGGAUGGACCAUGAAUGGGUCUCUGGAAAGACAACAAAGAGGGUUUUGCAGCUGAUAAUCAAACGUUGUCAGGAAUUAAGACGCUUAAGUAGGGAGUUCCUGUCGUGGUUCAGUGGUUAAUGAAUCUGACUAGGAACCAUGAGGUGACAGGUUUGAUCCCUGACCUUUCUCAGUGGGUUAAGGAUCCGGCAUUGCUAUGAGCUGUGGUGUAGAUCACAGAUGUGGCUCGGAUCUGGUGUUGCUGUGACUCUGGCAUAGGCCAGCAGCUACAGCUCUGAUUAGACCCCUAGCCUGGGAACCUCCAUAUGCCAUGGGUGCAGCCCUAGAAAAAGACAAAAAAAGACAAAAAACAAAAACAAACAAAAAAACCUCUUAAGUAUGACCAAGUCCUAGUCCCCAGAACCUGUGAAUAUUACCUUAAAUAGCAAAAGAGUAGCUACUACCUUAUAUUGUCAUGGAUGUAAUUUAGUUAAGGAUCUUAUCUGGAUCUGGGAUAAAUCCAGGGGAAGUUAUCUGGGAUUAUCUAGGCAGGUCUUAAAUACCUUCAGUAUAUAAGAGGCAAAGGAAGAUAAGACAGGCAGAAAAGGACAGAGGCGCAGAGGGAAGACAAUGUGAAGACAGAGAUUGGAGUGAUGUGGCAUGAAGCCAAGGAAUGCCAGUAGGCACCAGAAGUUGGAAGAGACAAGGAAGAGAUUCUUUCCUGGUGUCUUCAGAGGCAAUGAGGCCGUGCUGACUUCUUGGUUUCAGAUUUCUGACCUCCAGAACUGUGAGAGGAUACAUGUCUAUAGCAUUAAGCCAUCUGAUUUAUGGUAAUUUUUUAGAGCAGCCCUAUAGUUUAAAAAAUUCAAAUAAUUUUUAAAAAUAUAAAUAUAGUUGAUUUACAGUGGUGUGCCAAUUUCUGCUAUAUGGUAAAGUGUCCCAGCUAUACAUAUAUAUAUUUUUUUCUAUCUUUCUUUUUUUUCAUCUUUCUUCCAUCAUGGUCUAUUCCAAGAGACUGGAUAUAGUUCCCUCUGCUGUACAGAAUGGCUUAUCCAUUCUAAAUGUAAUAGUUUGCAUCUAAUAACCCCAAACUCCCAGUCCAUCUAACUCCCUCUCCCUUGGCAACCACAAGUCUAUUCUCUAUGUCUGUGAGUCUGUUUCUGCUUUGUAGAUAGGUUCAUUUGUGCCAUAUUUUAGAUUCUACAUGUAAGUGAUAGCAUAUUGUAUUCAUCUUCCUCUUUCUGACUUACUUCAUGUGGUAUGAGAAUUUCUAGUUGCAUCUAUGUUGCUGUAAAUGGCAUUAUUUUAUUCUUUUUUGUGGCCAAGUAGUAUUCCAUUGUGUAUAUGUACCACAUCUUCUUAAGGGAACUAAUAUUCCUUUGAUGGUGUGGGAACAGACACAUCAGCUGCUUGUUAAUAAUAAAAAUAACAACAAUGGUAAAAGCUAGUAUUUACUGAAUACCCACUCUUUGUCAAACAUUCCACUAAGUACUUAAAACAUUAUCUCAGUGAAUUGCAUGGCAACUUCAUUAGACAGGCAUCACUGUCAUCCAUAAUUUGCAGGUGAGGAAGACAAAACAUGGGGAACUGGAUUACAGAGCUAGUAAGUAGAAGGGCCGAGAUUAUACCUAUGGUCAGUCUGACCCUUCUGUUUUGUUUUUUUAAAUUUAAUUUUAUUGGAGUAUAGUCGAUAUACAAUGUUGUAUUAUUUUCAGGUGUAAAGUGAAGUAGUGUCCAUUCUUUUUUCCCAUAGAGGUUAUUACAAACUAUUGAGUAGAUUUCCCUGUGUUGUACAGUAGGUUCUUGUUACUCAUCUAUUUUAUACAGUAGUGGGUAUAUGUUGUCUCUCAAAAUUCUUCCCUCCCCGCAACAGUUUCACCUAUGGUAACCGUAAGAUUGGUCUGACCCUUUCUGUUGGGUGUCAUCAGUAACUUCCAGAAUUACUCCAGGAACAGCUCAUUUCAUUGGGAGGGAGCUGAGGGCACCAGCAGCUGAGCAGAGAGGGGGCCAGUGUUCCCAGGGGCUCUUUAGCCACUGCCCAGGGAAUACACGAGCCACCCUUAAGCCCCCUCCCUUUUCUUUGCCUGUGAACCCUUUGUUCAGUCUUUCAGGCUCAGCUCAAGCAUCAUUUCCUUCCCCCAACCCUCUGCUCUGCUCUGGUCAUUUCCUAUUCAAUGCUUUCGUAGCACUUUGCACAGGCCUGGCUCAUAAGGCCCAGUAGUAUACAAUGACACAUCUGCCGUCUCAUCCACCUCCUCUCUCCCCUGUGCACUUGGACUGAAACGUUUCAGAAUCAAGAAUCAGACCGGAGUUCCCAUCAUGGCACAGUGGUUGACGAAUCUGACUAGGAACUAUGAGGUUGCAGGUUCGAUCCCUGGCCUUGCUUGGGGAUCCAGAUUUGCUGUUAGUGUUGCUGUGAGCUGUGGUGUGGGUCGCAGACGCGGCUUGGAUCCCGCAUUGCUGUGGCUCUGGGGUAGGCCGGCGCUACAGCUCCGCUUAGACCCCUAGCCUGGGAACCUCCAUAUGCCACGG
rnacentral:lncRNA from 1 species